rnacentral:rRNA from 1 species
AACGAACGCUGGCGGCAGGCUUAACACAUGCAAGUCGAACGCCCCGCAAGGGGAGUGGCAGACGGGUGAGUAACACGUGGGAACGUACCCUUUUCUACGGAAUAACCCAGGGAAACUUGGACUAAUACCGUAUGUGCCCUUCGGGGGAAAGAUUUAUCGGAAAAGGAUCGGCCCGCGUUGGAUUAGCUAGUUGGUGGGGUAAAGGCCUACCAAGGCGACGAUCCAUAGCUGGUCUGAGAGGAUGAUCAGCCACAUUGGGACUGAGACACGGCCCAAACUCCGACGGGAGGCAGCAGUGGGGAAUAUUGGACAAUGGGCGCAAGCCUGAUCCAGCCAUGCCGCGUGAGUGAUGAAGGCCUUAGGGUUGUAAAGCUCUUUCACCGGAGAAGAUAAUGACGGUAUCCGGAGAAGAAGCCCCGGCUAACUUCGUGCCAGCAGCCGCGGUAAAAC